rnacentral:rRNA from 1 species
AGUUUGUAUACCGCUGUUGUCAGUCAGUUUCUUUAGAAAACUUUCUGUAAUGAAAAAAUCAUGGACUUCAAGUAAAGGUGCAGCUUAUGUAAAAGAUAGAGGUGGGUUACAUUUAUUAGAAUAAAACAAAUAAAGUUUAUGAAAUAACUUUUGAAGGUGGAUUUAAUUGUAAAGUUUAAGAAAACUUGAUAUGAGCUCUAUCUUGUGUACAC